CGGGAAUUUUGGGCAAUGGGCGAAAGCCUGACCCAGCAACGCCGCGUGAGGGAUGAAGUAUUUCGGUAUGUAAACCUCGAAAGAAUGGGAAGAAUAAAUGACGGUACCAUUUAUAAGCUCCGGCUAACUACGUGCCAGCAGCCGCGGUAAUACGUAGGGAGCAAGCGUUGUUCGGAUUUACUGGGCGUAAAGGGCGCGUAGGCGGCGCGGUAAGUUACUUGUGAAAUCUCUGAGCUUAACUCAGAACGGCCAAGUGAUACUGCUGCGCUAGAGUGCGGAAGAGGCAACCGGAAUUCUUGGUGUAGCGGUGAAAUGCGUAGAUAUCAAGAGGAACACCUGAGGCGAAGGCGGGUUGCUGGGCCGACACUGACGCUGAUGCGCGAAAGCCAGG
rnacentral:rRNA from 1 species